rnacentral:rRNA from 1 species
AGAGUUUGAUCAUGGCUCAGGAUGAACGCUAGCUACAGGCUUAACACAUGCAAGUCGAGGGGAACGACAUCGAAAGCUUGCUUUUGAUGGGCGUCGACCGGCGCACGGGUGAGUAACGCGUAUCCAACCUGCCCAUCACUUGGGGAUAACCUUGCGAAAGUAAGACUAAUACCCAAUGACGUCUCUAGAAGACAUCUGAAAGAGAUUAAAGAUUUAUCGGUGAUGGAUGGGGAUGCGUCUGAUUAGCUUGUUGGCGGGUAACGCCACAGGCGACGAUCAGUAGGGUUCUGAGAGGAAGGUCCCCANAUUGGAACUGAGACACGGUCCAAACUCCUACGGGAGC